rnacentral:rRNA from 1 species
CAGGCCUUCGGGCGCUGACGAGUGGCGAACGGGUGAGUAAUGCAUCGGAACGUGCCCAGUCGUGGGGGAUAACGCAGCGAAAGCUGUGCUAAUACCGCAUACGGUCUGUGGAUGAAAGCGGGGGACCUUCGGGCCUCGCGCGAUUGGAGCGGCCGAUGUCAGAUUAGGUAGUUGGUGGGGUAAAGGCUCACCAAGCCAACGAUCUGUAGCUGGUCUGAGAGGACGACCAGCCACACUGGGACUGAGACACGGCCCAGACUCCUACGGGAGGCAGCAGUGGGGAAUUUUGGACAAUGGGCGCAAGCCUGAUCCAGCAAUGCCGCGUGCAGGAAGAAGGCCUUCGGGUUGUAAACUGCUUUUGUACGGAACGAAACGGUCCUGGUUAAUACCUGGGGCUAAUGACGGUACCGUAAGAAUAAGCACCGGCUAACUACGUGCCAGCAGCCGCGGUAAUACGUA